rnacentral:rRNA from 1 species
UACGGAGGGAGCUAGCGUUGUUCGGAAUUACUGGGCGUAAAGCGCACGUAGGCGGCUUUGUAAGUUAGAGGUGAAAGCCCGGAGCUCAACUCCGGAAUUGCCUUUAAGACUGCAUCGCUUGAAUCCGGGAGAGGUGAGUGGAAUUCCGAGUGUAGAGGUGAAAUUCGUAGAUAUUGGGAAGAACACCAGUGGCGAAGGCGGCUCACUGGCCCGUAACUGACGCUGAGGUGCGAAAGCGUGGGGAGCAAACAGG